rnacentral:misc_RNA from 1 species
AAGGGAGACGCACAGAGGGCGGUCUAAAGAUGGGAGCUGGAAGAAGAAGUUUGGGAGGUGGGGGCGGAGGAGGUGGUGGAGGAAGGAACCAAAGAUUACUUAAACAUCGCGUAGACUCAUGCAAGAAGAAAUUCUCAACCGCGGAAGAUAUAGUGCACCACCUCCGCCAGCACCACUCCGACUACCGCCGCAUGGAACUCCGAACCUUGACUAGGCUUGUUCACCAAAUUCUAAAUUCUUCAUCACCAUCAUCGUCUCGCCAACACCACAAAUCCGGAAGAUCUUCUUCUGCUUCUCCUCGACUACAGGAAGGGGAAGAUGAAGAUAGCAUUUUCAACAAUCCCAGUCAAUUUCGUAAAAAAAGGAAGCGAACUGAUGAGAGCGAAGAGAGAUUGCUGCAAAUAGAGAAUGAUUAUUCGAAAAGAAUCGAUCGGAAUCCACCGUCCGCCUCGUCUUCUGAGUCGGACUCAGAGUCGCAGCCUUCUUCUUCGGCUGUUUCGACAUCGGAGGAUGGAAUUUACGGAGAGCAAGUGGAGCCGAAGAUUGAUUUGAUGCAAUCGAUGUUGCGGGAGAGCUAUGCCGCUGAAUCGAAAGGGAAAGAGAAGAAUAUUGAAGUAGAGGUUGCGAGUAGUGCUAAAACCAUUAAUAAGAUUGACAUUGUAAAUUCACGCAAAAGUGAAGAAGACGCAGAGAGAUUGGGAGCUAAUGUGACAAAGGAAUGGAAAGGGAAAGUAGAGGUUUCGAAUACUGCAAGCGUAGAGGCGAAGAGGAAAGAUGGGCCGAGGUUUAGGGAUUUGGGGGGGAUAAGUUCAGUGUUGGAGGAGUUGGAGAUGGAGGUUUUUUUGCCGCUGUAUCAUCCACAUGUGCCGCAGCGGCUUGGAGUGAACCCGAUAGGUGGGAUUUUACUGCACGGGCCGCCGGGCUGCGGCAAGACCAAACUGGCUCAUGCAAUUGCUAAUGAGGUUGCAGUUCCCUUUUACAAGAUUUCAGCUACUGAGGUCGUCUCCGGCGUUUCAGGUAAGUAUUUUGAGGGGAGAAAAAAGGCUGUGAUAGGAGAGGAAUUGGGGAUUUAUGUGAUUAUUCUAUAUAACUUGUAUUCAUUUUUCUUUUUAUUUCAAGAACAAUGGGACUCUGCUUUUUGGAAAGACAGUCUUCUGCUAAUUAUGGUUCGCAAGGCAUGGCUGCAAAUUGCAAUGAUUAAAAUUCUUGGCCCAAGCAAUUUCUCAUAGAUGAUUUGGAGAAACUUAAUUCUGAAUUUUCUUUCUUCAUGUUGGAUAAUCUUUUCCCAGGACUAUUGAUAGUUUUAGCUCAAUAGGUGCUUAAACUUUUUUGUACUGUCUGAAUUUGGAGAGUUAAUGCCUAAGAGUUUGCAAAUUCAGUUUAUCAUUGUCAUGUUUCUAAGAAUAUUGCAUUUUACCGGAGCUUGGUUUCAAGUAUGUGUCCUUUGAUAUCUAUAUCUUUCUUUUUGCAAACAGUUGGUUGUUACCUUGCCAAAAAAGAUACAGAAAAUAUGCAGAUUAUUGACCAAUUUUUGGCUCUACUGAAUUACUAUUUCUUUUCUAUUUUGGCUCUCCCGAAUUAGUAUUUCUUUUCUUUCUUCCUUUCUUUGUGCUUUAAUCUUUGGCAUUCUUUCAUGAUGGAAACCUUUUCGUGGAACGGUUAUAUAUAUUUUUUUAAAUUUUUUAUUUCAUUCUCAAUGGCAUGAAAAUUUCAGGUGCAUCGGAAGAAAACAUCCGAGAUCUUUUCUCCAAAGCAUACAGGACUGCACCAUCAAUCAUUUUCAUUGAUGAGAUUGAUGCAAUUGCUUCAAAGAGAGAAAACCUACAGAGGGAGAUGGAGCGAAGGAUUGUAACGCAAUUAAUGACUUGCAUGGAUGAAUAUCACAGACUUAUCCUACCAGCUAAUGCAAAUUCAGACUCUGAAAGCUCUAAUAAAAAACCUGGCAAUGUUCUUGUAAUUGGAGCUACCAAUAGGCCUGAUGCUAUUGACCCUGCACUGAGGAGGCCUGGAAGAUUUGAUCGUGAGAUUAGGUUAGGUGUGCCAGAUGAGAAUGCGAGGGUUGAGAUUCUUUUGGUCCUAACUAGAAAAUGUACUCUUGAGGGUUCUCUUGAUCUUUUGCAAAUAGCAAGGUCUACGCCAGGAUUCGUUGGAGCUGACUUGGAUGCUUUAGUUGACAAGGCUGGUAAUCUUGCCAUGAGGAGAAUACUUGCUCAGAGAAAGUCUGAGCUAACUAGAGAAUACUCAGACAAGGAAAGCACUGAAGAAUGGUGGAAGAUACCUUGGUUGCCCGAGGAGAUUGAAAAGCUUGCCAUUACAAUGGCUGAUUUUGAGCAAGCAGCUAAGAUGGUUCAACCAUCUUCAAGAAGAGAAGGAUUCUCCACCAUCCCUAAUGUAAAGUGGGAAGAUGUUGGUGGGCUUGAAUCUAUAAGGAAUGAGUUUGAUCUUCAUAUAGUUAAGCGCAUAAAAUUUCCUGAGGAAUAUCAGAAAUUUGGAGUGAAUUUAGAGACCGGAAUUUUACUUUAUGGCCCUCCGGGCUGUGGUAAAACACUGAUUGCUAAGGCUGUUGCUAGUGAGGCAGGCGCUAAUUUCAUUCAUGUCAAGGGUCCUGAACUUCUGAAUAAAUAUGUUGGAGAAAGUGAACUGGCAGUUCGUACAUUAUUCGGUCGUGCAAGGACAUGUUCACCAUGUGUACUUUUCUUUGAUGAGGUGGAUGCUUUGACAACAAAGCGUGGGAAAGAAGGAGGCUGGGUCGUUGAGCGGCUGUUAAACCAGUUACUUAUAGAGUUAGAUGGUGCAGAUCAGCGGCCUGGUGUUUUCAUCAUCGGUGCAACUAACAGACCUGAGGUGAUGGACCCAGCUGUCUUACGGCCUGGUAGGUUUGGAAAACUUCUCUAUGUCCCUCUGCCCAGUUCAAAUGACCGUGGAUUGAUCUUAAAUGCUCUUGCAAAGGGAAAACCUAUUGACCCUAGUGUGGAUUUGAGAGCCAUUGGUCAGAUGGAUGCUUGUGAAAAUUUAAGUGGCGCUGAUCUUAAGAAGCUGAUGGAUGAAGCUGCAAUGGCUGCAUUAGUUGAAGCAAAAAGAUUGAGCUGCCCAUAUGAGAGCUCAUGCACAAUCAAGGUCACUCAUUUUGAGCAAGCAUUAAGUAAAAUAUCUCCAUCUGUGUCACAUAAGCAAAUACAGUACUACAAGGUUUGGUCAGAGAGCUUCAAAACCGCAUGAUAGAGAUAGAAACCGCAUGAUAGAGAUAGAUACCAGUAUUUACAAGUCAUGGUUCAAUAGUAUGUGCCUGGCGCUGGCUGCGGAACUUGAGAGCCAAUCCUCGUGCUUGGUUUCAAUGACCUGCGUUGCCCACCAGGAUUAAAUUUUGUUGCGCUGUCUUAUAUUACGGAUUUUGAAUUUUCGGGCUUUCAAAUCAGUGGAAAAGCAAUAUGCCUUUUGUAGAGAUUAUUUUAUUUUAUUAUUAUUUUU